rnacentral:lncRNA from 1 species
CUAUCACACAAGAUGUCUAUCCAACUAAGAAAUGCUUAAUCAUCUUUAGAUUGAUUUUCAUAUAUGAAACGAUGUGUAUUGAUUUUACUUGGUUCAAUGUUCAGUGGCAAGUAUUUCAUAUAUGCGCAGGUCCUGACACAAAAAAUCAAAUUAUUCCUUCACUUAUGGUCUUCAAAAAUAAACGAUUGCGGGAUGACGGACAGGAAGAUUUCAAACGUAAGAGUGUGAACUAGCUGUCAGUAACUUAAAGUACUCUCAGAUCUUUUCUUGCUAGUAUCUUUUUAUUGUUCUGGUAAACAAGUGAUUCUUUCAUUGUUGAAACCCUCUAGCGGCUAUAAAGAUGAACAGGAAUAAAAACGCUGACCAUUGAUAAUUUGUAUGUUUGUUAAGCAAUGACUUUGUGUGCGAUUAGAUCCCGUGUACGUUUAUACCAUAUUCCUUUAUUUUCUAUAAAAGCGUCUGUCUUGACAGUAAGUUGACACGACUUAAUACAAGUUAAACCAUUAAAUUUAAGACACCAG